GGUUAAGCGACUAAGCGUACACGGUGGAUGCCCUGGCAGUCAGAGGCGAUGAAGGACGUGCUAAUCUGCGAUAAGCGUCGGUAAGGUGAUAUGAACCGUUAUAACCGGCGAUUUCCGAAUGGGGAAACCCAGUGUGUUUCGACAUACUAUCAUUAACUGAAUCCAUAGGUUAAUGAGGCGAAC
rnacentral:rRNA from 1 species